rnacentral:rRNA from 1 species
ACCUCCUACGGGGGGCAGCAGUGGGGAAUAUUGCACAAUGGGCGAAAGCCUGAUGCAGCAACGCCGCGUGAAGGAAGAAGGGUUUCGGCUCGUAAACUUCUAUCAACAGGGACGAAAGAAAUGACGGUACCUGAAUAAGAAGCCCCGGCUAACUACGUGCCAGCAGCCGCGGUAAUACGUAGGGGGCAAGCGUUAUCCGGAUUUAUUGGGUUUAAAGGGUGCGUAGGCGGACUGUUAAGUCAGCGGUAAAAGCCCGGGGCUCAACCCCGGCGAGCCGUUGAAACUGGCUGUCUUGAGAUGUCGGG